GCAUUUGGCCAUACCUCCUUGUCAAUGUUGAAUCUCGGAGGCUGAGAAGGGUUGGGCCUGAUUAGUACUUGGAUGGGAGACUGCUGGUAAUAUCAGGUACUACUUGGU
rnacentral:rRNA from 1 species